rnacentral:rRNA from 1 species
AUUGAACGCUGGCGGCAUGCCUUACACAUGCAAGUCGAACGGCAACAUGGAGAGCUUGCUCUCUGAUGGCGAGUGGCGAACGGGUGGGUAAUGCAUCGGAACGUACCGUGUAAUGGGGGAUAACGUAGCGAAAGUUACGCUAAUACCGCAUACGACCUGAGGGCGAAAGCAGGGGAUCGCAAGACCUUGCGUUAUACGAGCGGCCGAUGUCAGAUUAGCUAGUUGGGAGGGUAAAGGCCUACCAAGGCGACGAUCUGUAGCGGGUCUGAGAGGAUGAUCCGCCACACUGGGACUGAGACACGGCCCAGACUCCUACGGGAGGCAGCAGUGGGGAAUUUUGGACAAUGGGGGCAACCCUGAUCCAGCCAUGCCGCGUGAGUGAAGAAGGCCUUCGGGUUGUAAAGCUCUUUCGGCCGGGAAGAAAUCGCACAGGCUAAUACUCUGUGUGGAUGACGGUACCGGCAUAAGAAGCACCGGCUAACUACGUGCCAGCAGCCGCAGUAACAC